GACGAACGCUGGCGGCGUGCCUAAUACAUGCAAGUCGAACGCUUCUUUCCUCCCGAGUGCUUGCACUCAAUUGGAAAGAGGAGUGGCGGACGGGUGAGUAACACGUGGGUAACCUACCCAUCAGAGGGGGAUAACACUUGGAAACAGGUGCUAAUACCGCAUAACAGUUUAUGCCGCAUGGCAUAAGAGUGAAAGGCGCUUUCGGGUGUCGCUGAUGGAUGGACCCGCGGUGCAUUAGCUAGUUGGUGAGGUAACGGCUCACCAAGGCCACGAUGCAUAGCCGACCGGAGAGGGUGAUCGGCCACACUGGGACUGAGACACGGCCCAGACUCCUACGGGAGGCAGCAGUAGGGAAUCUUCGGCAAUGGACGAAAGUCUGACCGAGCAACGCCGCGUGAGUGAAGAAGGUUUUCGGAUCGUAAAACGCUGUUGUUAGAGAAGAACAAGGACGUUAGUAACUGAACGUCCCCUGACGGUAUCUAACCAGAAAGCCACGGCUAACUACGU
rnacentral:rRNA from 1 species